UACGUAGGAUGCAAGCGUUGUCCGGAUUUACUGGGCGUAAAGCGCGCGCAGGCGGCACUCUAAGUACGUCGUGAAAUAUCCCGGCUCAACCGGGAGGGUGCGAUGUAGACUAGGGAGCUAGAGGUCGGUAGAGGGGGGUGGAAUUGCUGGUGUAGCAGUGAAAUGCGUAGAGAUCAGCAGGAACACCCGUGGCGAAGGCGGCCCCCUGGGCCGUACCUGACGCUGAGGCGCGAAGGCUAGGGGAGCGAACGGG
rnacentral:rRNA from 1 species